AGUACGGAGAUCAAGCGUUAUCCGGAUUUAUUGGGUUUAAAGGGUGCGUAGGCGGCCUAUUAAGUCAGAGGUGAAAGACGGUAGCUCAACUAUCGCAGUGCCUUUGGUACUGAUGGGCUUGAAUGAACUAGAGGUAGGCGGAAUGAGACAAGUAGCGGUGAAAUGCAUAGAUAUGUCUCAGAACACCGAUUGCGAAGGCAGCUUACUAUGGUUUUAUUGACGCUGAGGCACGAAAGCGUGGGGAUCAAACAGG
rnacentral:rRNA from 1 species